CACGUAGGGUGCGAGCGUUGUCCGGAAUUAUUGGGCGUAAAGAGCUCGUAGGCGGUGUGUCGCGUCGGCCGUGAAAACCUGCAGCUUAACUGUGGGCUUGCGGUCGAUACGGGCAUCACUGGAGUUCGGCAGGGGAGACUGGAAUUCCUGGUGUAGCGGUGAAAUGCGCAGAUAUCAGGAGGAACACCGGUGGCGAAGGCGGGGUCUCUGGGCAUUACCUGACGCUGGAGGAGCGAAAAGCGUGGGGAGCAAACAGG
rnacentral:rRNA from 1 species